GGAGGGUGCAAACGUUGUCCGGAAUUACUGGGCGUAAAGGGCGCGUAGGCGGACUUGUAAGUCAGGAGUGAAAAACUCAGGGGGCUCAACCCUGAGCCUGCUUCUGAAACUGCAAGUCCUGAGGACCGGAGAGGAAAGUGGAAUUCCUAGUGUAGCGGUGGAAUGCGUAGAUAUUAGGAAGAACACCAGUGGCGAAGGCGACUUUCUGGACGGUACCUGACGCUGAGGCGCGAAAGCUAGGGGAGCAAACAGGAUUAGAUACCCUGGUAGUCCUAGCUGUAAACGAUGAGUGCUAGGUGGUGGUAGUUUCAACGCUUUCACUGCCGAAGCUAACGCAUUAAGCACUCCGCCUGGGGAGUACGGCCGCAAAGGUUG
rnacentral:rRNA from 1 species